rnacentral:lncRNA from 1 species
GAGGAUGGGUUGGAAUAAGUCGCAAGCAAGAAGGGUGUGAGCAGACACACGGGAAGAAGCUAUUGCAGUGCUCCAGUGAGAGGGGCUGCAGCAGGAACUGAGGCAGCAGUGGAGCUGGAGAGAAGUAAUCCCUGUGGGACAUGCUUGGAGAUGGAGGCACAGGACCUGAGGAUGCAUUGAGUGUGGGGAUGAGAAAAAAGAGAGAAGCAAGGAUUCUUUUUGACUUGGGCAACUGGGUGGAUGGUGGUUGGCUGGAGGUGAAGUACUCAUGGGGGUGGCAGGAGUGAGAAGGAAAUCAAGAGCUCCUUUUUGCAUGUGUUAGGUUUGAGAUGCCCAUCAGACAUCCAGGUAGGUGCGCUGAGUCAGACUUGGAUACGUGCGUCCAGAAUUUCAGGAAGAGCCAGACCAGGAGACUUCCACUUGGGAGUCAUCAACCUAUAGGUGGUAUUUAAAGCCAGAGGAUGAGGUCACUUAGGGAUGGUGUGUAGCUAGAAGAAAGAAAUGGGCCAAAGAUGGGGCUCUAGGGCACUACACUGCAACAUUCGGAGGUCAAGCAGGGGAGAAGGGCAGCAAAGAGGUAGAGAAGAUGCAGUCGGUUGAAGGGCAUUCAGGAGAGAGGAGGACCAUGAAGCCCAGGGAGGGGGGCUUGCUCAACUGUAGGGAAUGUGGAGGGAUCUGGUCCGGUAAGAACAGAGAAGUGACCACCAUUGACUUUGGCCACAUGGAGGUUACCAGCGCUCUUAACAAGCACAGGCUCAAUGUGGGGCUGGGA